rnacentral:rRNA from 1 species
CACGUAGGGCGCAAGCGUUGUCCGGAAUUAUUGGGCGUAAAGGGCAUGCAGGCGGUCGGACGCGUUUCGGGUGACAGCGGGUGGCUUAACUACCCGAGUGGUCGAAAGACGGUUUGACUUGAGGACGCGAGAGGGACACGGAAUUCCGGGUGGAGUGGUGAAAUGCGUAGAGAUCCGGAGGAACACCGAAGGCGAAGGCAGUGUCCUGGCGCGUAACUGACGCUGAGGUGCGAAAGCCAGGGGAGCGAACGGG